CGCUUCAACCAUAUUUUACAGUGUGAACAUGUCUCGUCCUUUGCAACGAAAAUAAGAGGGCGAGAAUUGGCCCAUGCUGGCCCUGCCUCCUGCCCCACGUGACCGGCCUCGCCAUGAGCCAUCUGGUGCAGCCACCGGUCAAACUUUAAAGCCUUCAAGCCCUCUUUCCCCCACCUCUCCCUCUCUCUCUCUCUCUUUCCCUCCCUCUAUGAACAAGCAGUGGUAGGUCGGCGGACGCCAUGGCGAGCAGCGGCGAGGUGCAGAGAUCGCUGCAGGCGGUGGCGCAGGGGCUGCGGUGGACGUACGCCAUCCUCUGGCAGCUCAGCCCCGACCAAGGGUACAACUGUUAGUUCUAAUCUUGAUUUAGUUUUUUGCAUGUAGCUAGUUGCGUACCUGUAGUUCCGGCGAAGACAUGCAAGACGAGAUGCUGGAGCGGUCGUGCCACGCGGUAUGUCCGGUGAGAUGCCGUUGGUGGUGUGACUUUGCCGCAGUGCAUGCAGGAACUUAGGAUAUUAUCUAGUAGUUAGUUGAGUGCAUGCAUUACUUGUUAGCUGCUUAGCCGGACCAUGAGUUAGUGGCCGUUGUGGUGAGAGUGCAUGUAGGCAGUGGGUUAGUGGGCAAGUGUGGCGCCCAGAAUUUGUGUUGGUGCGUGGCACGAGGUGCCCACAUCCCUUGUAUAAAUAUUGCACCUGAGUUAACAAAGAGGAAAGGGCCGAGAAGGCAGUGGAAAAAUGUAGCCUUCGUGGUAGCCAAGGGAGAGUCACUUGGCAAAGCUAUGUGUUCUUCCCUGGUAUAUGUGUGUGUGUGUUCUUGUGAGAGGAGAGAAACUGCAAGUGAGAGUUGUGUGUGAGGAAGAAGAAGCGGCGCUGCGAGGAGGCGGCGUCAACAAUUGGUAUCAGAGCCUUGUUGAUUCGAGGCGACGAUGGCGGCACGGCGGGCUCCUUGUGAGGAGGACGUCGACGGUGCAAGGUGAGCAUGUCUUUAUCAUCGUCAAGCUGCGUCACGAGCGAUGGAGAAAGGUGUCAUGCCCGGUAAUUUGCGGUACCGGCAGCAAGGAGGUGAUGGCCAUAGAGCGGAGGCCAUUGCCGCGAGGAGUUCCAUGUCCGAGUCGGCGACAAGGUGCGUCAUCGUCGGCAACAUGGAGGCGAGUCACCAGCGAGUUGCGUCACCAGUGACGAACGUGGAGGCGAGUCACCGGCGAGUUGCGGCACCGGUAGCGAACAUGGAGGCGAGUCACCGGCGAGUUGCGUCACCGGUGACGACCAUGAAGGCGAGUCACCGGUGACGACCAUGAAGGCGAGUCACUGGCGAGGUGCGGCACCGGUGGCAAACAUGCGGCGGCGAGUGUGCCAUGGCGGCGCGCUCGUGGUGAAGGCGUAGAAGGUGUGGUUCUCAUCGAGGCCAGCAGUGACGGUGACAAUCGGCGUGACAAGAUGGCAUUGGCGGCCAUCUACGUGUUGCACCGACGACAUCGUUGUCGACGGCAAGUGGUUGCAGCUAGUUGCGUACCUGUAGUUCCGGCGAAGACAUGCAAGAUGAGAUGCUGGAGCGGUCGUGCCAUGCGGUAUGUCCGGUGAGAUGCCGUUGGUGGUGUGACUUUGCCGCAGUGCAUGCAGGAACUUAGGAUAUUAUCUAGUAGUUAGUUGAGUGCAUGCAUUACUUGUUAGCUGCUUAGUCGGGCCAUGAGUUAGUUGCCGUUGUGGUGAGAGUGCAUGUAGGCUGUGGGUUAGUGGGCAAGUGUGGCGUCCAGAAUUUGUGUUGGUGCGUGGCACGAGGUGCCCACAUCCCUUGUAUAAAUAUUGCACCUGAGUUAACAAAGAGGAAAGGGCCGAGAAGGCAGUGGAAAAAUGUAGCCUUCGUGGUAGCCAAGGGAGAGUGACUUGGCAAAGCUAUGUGUUCUUCCCUGGUGUGUGUGUGUGUGUGUUCUCUUGUGAGAGGAGAGAAACUGCAAGUGAGAGUUGUGUGUGAGGAAGAAGAAGCGGCGCUGCGAGGAGGCGGUGUCAACAAUAUGUAUCAGAGCCUUGUUGAUUCGAGGCGACGGUGGCGGCACGGCGGGCUCCUUGUGAGGAGGACGUCGACGGUGCAAGGUGAGCGUGUCUUUAUCAUUGUCAAGUUGCGUCACGAGCGAUGGAGAAAGGUGUCCUACCCGGUAACUUGCGGCACCGGCGGCAAGGAGGUGAUGGCCAUGGAGCGGAGGCCAUUGCCGCGAGGAGUUCCAUGUCCGAGUCGGCGACAAGGUGCGUCAUCGUCGGCAACAUGGAGGCGAGUCACCGGCGAGUGGCGGUACCGCUAGCGAACAUGGAGGCGAGUCACCGGCGAGUUGCGGUACCGCUAGCGAACAUGGAGGCGAGUCACCGGUGACGACCAUGAAGGCGAGUCACCGGCGAGGUGCGGCACCGGUGGCAAACAUGCCGCGGCGAGUGUGCCAUGGCGGCGCGCUCGUGGUGAAGGCGUAGAAGGUGUGGUUCUCAUCGAGGCCAGCGGUGACAGCGACAAUCGGCGUGACAAGAUGGCAUUGGCGGCCAUCUACGUGUUGCACCGACGACAUCGUUGUCGACGGCAAGUGGUUGCAGGUGAUCCACCUCGAAGAUUGGAGAAUCAAGAUUAGGAUGGAAAUUGUUAGUUCUAAUCUUGAUUUAGUUUUUUGCAUGUAGCUAGUUGCGUACCUGUAGUUCCGGCGAAGACAUGCAAGACGAGAUGCUGGAGCGGUCGUGCCACGCGGUAUGUCCGAUGAGAUGUCGUUGGUGGUGUGACUUUGCCGCAGUGCAUGCAGGAACUUAAGAUAUUAUCUAGUAGUUUGUUGAGUGCAUGCAUUACUUGUUAGCUGCUUAGGCCACGAGUUAGUGGCCGUUGUGGUGAGAGUGCAUGUAGGCAGUGGGUUAGUGGGCAAGUGUGGCGUCCAGAAUUUGUGUUGGUGCGUGGCACGAGGUGCCCACAUCCCUUGUAUAAAUAUUGCACCUGAGUUAACAAAGAGGAAAGGGCCGAGAAGGCAGUGGAAAAAUGUAGCCUUCGUGGUAGCCAAGGGAGAGUCAUUUGGCAAAGCUAUGUAUUCUUCCCUGGUAUAUGUGUGUUCUUGUGAGAGGAGAGAAACUGCAAGUGAGAGUUGUGUGUGAGAGUUGUGUGUGAGGAAAAAGAAGCGGCGCUGCGAGGAGGCGGCGCCAACAACAGCAACACCACCAACUCUAGCUCCAUCCUCGCAACGUUCAUACUACCUCACUUGCAUAACCACCUCACUCAUCUUGAUCUAUCCAUGCUCAACACAAGUGUUCUUUAAAAAAAUUCUUUUGCUCGUCACGGAAAUCAAUGGGACUGCAUGCAGCGCACUGGUGUGGGUGGAGGGGCACUACAACAGCGCCAUCAAGACGCGCAAGACGGUGCAGCCGGCCGUCGCCCAGGCGCAGGCGCCGGCGGCGGCGGCGGAGGCAGCCGACCAGGCCCGGAGCCGGCAGCUGCGGGAGCUGUUCGACUCGCUGGCCAGGGAGGCUGCCGCGGGCGGCGGGACAGGCUUCAGGGACGUCCACGGCUGCGCCCAGGAGGCUCGGCGGCCCAGUGCGGCGCUGGCGCCGGAAGACCUGACGGAGACGGAGUGGUUCUAUCUCAUGUCUGCCUCCUACUCCUUCCCUUCCGGCGUCGGGUACGCACCACGUUUGCAGCUUUUCUUGCACUGUUUUUAGUAUGUUGUUACCGGACGUGGAUUUGGUGAACAUGGAUGCGCACGCAUCCUUUAUAAAUAGUAAAUUCGAAAAAAUACUAGAAAAAAUCAAAAAAAUCUGAAUUUAUUUUUUUAAUACACAUAGUCAACCGGGAUAGUCGCAUAUGAAGUUUCACGAAGAAAUCACAUCCGUGGUAAUCUAGGCAAAAAUGACAAAAUCGAAGCUAUAUUAAAAAACAAUGUUUAAUGAAUAGUAUGGCCGCAUUUGUAUUUUCUUCACUAAAAAUACCAUGGGUGUCAAUACAUCAUGAAACUUCACAUGUGAGUAGAAUGAUCGACUAUGGUUCAUACUGCGAAAUUUUAGAAAUUUUUUAUUUUUUUAGUAUUUUCUAUGAAUUUAUUAUUCACGUGGGUGCGCGCGCACCCAUGUCCACCUUUGUAUUUUUGCUUGUUACCGCCUUUUCUUACUCCGGCAAAACAUUCCGGCUGUAGCUAAGGAAGAAAAGUUUCGGUCCAUCUUGUUUUGACAAAUUUCUAACCAAACUUAGACAAAAUUACGGGAACACUUCCAGCCUUCAGGUGUGCUACAUAGCUCAACCAUGCAAAAUUGCGGGGUGCACUAAGGCAUCCCCCGUCGUGAAAGGUGUUGUCGUGUUAGAAAGUUGUUUGUAUCUUUUUUAGCUCUCUCCGUAUCAAAAUAUAAAAUGUUUUUUUAUAUAUUAUCAUAGUGUCAAAAAGCGAGUGGGGCGUUUUGGAGCUCGGCCUCCAUGGAGGCCGAAAAUUUUUCAUAAGAAAAAACAAAAUUUGAACUUUUAGUAUCAAAAUAACCUAAAAAACAUUGUACAAGUAAAGAAGGAAGUGAUGUGUGUGUGUGUGUAAAAUUUUAGGAUGAAUUAUUUUGAAAUGCAAUCUGUGCAAAAAAGACAAAUUCAUGGACUUUGAGGAUGAAUAAUGCAUCUACUAAAAAGCCUUUUUUUGUGUACCACUCAUUUUAACGCAUUUCGUCCUAAAAAAUAUGCACACUUGUGAUUAUGUCCCUAUAAGUAUAUGUGUAUUUUAAAAAAGAGAAACAUGCACAUUUGAAUUUUGAUCAUUUCAAAUUUGGCCUCCAUGGAGGCCAAGCUGCAUUGGGCAUUUUCGCCAAAAAACAUCUUAUAUUACAAAGGUAGUGUUGUUUAUGUAGUUCUACUGGUCGUAAGAGUAGCACACUCCAAUAAUUGUUGGUAAUAUAAUAUACACAUGUAUAUCAAACCAAUAUUCAAUAUUACUCUCCUUUGGAAUCCCGAAGAUAAGCAAAAAAUUGGCCAACAUUCUCCGAAUUCCAUAGAACAUAAGCCAAGAAUAAACACAACUCAAUAACAAUUUUGCCAAAAAGCAUUUAAACAGGAUGUGCUCAACAUUCUCAUCCUAUCCAUAAAGAGAACACGCUGCAUUUGCCUGACUGCGAGGUUUAAGAAUCUGUACUAUAAGA